rnacentral:rRNA from 1 species
AGUGGAGCCUGCGGCUUAAUUUGACUCAACACGGGAAACCUCACCAGGUCAGGACAUUGUAAGGAUUGACAGAUUGAUAGCUCUUUCUUGAUUCAGUGGGUAGUGGUGCAUGGCCGUUCUUAGUUGGUGGAUCGAUUUGUCUGGUUAAUUCCGAUAACGAACGAGACUCUAGCCUAUUAACUAGACGGUCCCAGAGCCCUCGUCUUUGGCGAAAAUGACUCUUCUUAAGGGGACAGGCGGCUUAUAGUCGCACGAGAUUGAGCAAUAACAGGUCUGUGAUGCCCUUAGAUGUCCUGGGCCGCACGCGCGCUACAAUGAAAGAAUCAGCGUGUGUCUCCCAGCCCGAUAGGGCCGGGUAAUCCGCUGAACCUCUUUCGUGCUUGGGAUUGUGGCUUGCAAUUGUUCUUCAUGAACGAGGAAUUCCCAGUAAGCGCGAGUCAUAAGCUCGCGUUGAUUACGUCCCUGCCCUUUGUACACACCGCCCGUCGCUACUACCGAUUGAAUGAUUUAGUGAGGUCUUCGGACCGGCGGGAAAUCCCUAUCGCUUCGGCGGUAUCGACGAACGCUGGGAAGAUGACCAAACUUGAUCAUU